CCCUCCUAGAGAAUAUAUAUAUCUGCCUCUCUCUCUCUUGUUCAUCCAUGUGUGUAUGAGAGUGUGUGUGUGUGUGUAUGAGUGUGUGUGUGCGCAUGCAUCGCUCUCCCCUCAUAAAACACUCGAACGCACAUCAGCGGCCGCCUCUGGAACAGAACAUGACACAGACACACAGCAGAUCCUUCAUCAAGAGUCAAAUUGAGAAAACUUAAUGUGUCACGAUCCAACUCAUUCUGCUGAACUACUGUGGAGCUGAAAUCUGAUGGCUGCGCUCCCACAUGAUCCCACUCCUGACCAAACACAAGUUUACAUGUUUACACACACAAUUCAUCUUACAAACACACACUCAAUGCAAACCUGUCCUCAAACACACACAUAACCAUAAACACACAAGCUCCUCAGAAAUCCAGCUUUGAGAAAAACACGUUUUGG
rnacentral:lncRNA from 1 species